UAUGUCAAACAAUCAAACAAAAUAAGGGAUAUUUACUCUAUUGCUGCCUAUUGCUCUAUUACUGAUUCUCAUUCAUUUAUGUAUUUUUGUUCAUCAAAUUUAUUGUUAUGGGGAGGCAUUGACAAAAAUAAAGGCAAAUAAAAUAAGGGAUAUUGCUCAAUCUAAUUUUGAAUAGAAUGAUUUUACUAGGCUCUUAAUUCAGCUGUUACAACCAAAAUAUUGUCAAACAAUAAAACAAAAUAAGAGAUAAUUAAUAAUGAUUCCAACUUAAUGAAAAAAGGAUGUUGUCAACCCUCCAAAUAAACACUUGAAUAUCUGAAUUUCUUAGAACAUUCUGUGAUGAGAAACAAAAUAGGUUUUGCCUUUAAUCCUGAUGCCCACAAUAAACUUAUGAAAAAAAUAGCUAGGUUAAAGCGACGAAUGAAAAUGGUGGUAAGGAGAGGAGGAGCACAAAUUAUGUGUCUUCAAGACCUGCUUGAUAAACUUCAAGCUCAAGAACGACGUCUGCGAACAUUGUGUCAGUUCCGACAAGCUAGGUUUCGAAGGAAACAAUUAAUUAAUUUAAGAAGACUCUCCACCUUCCCUAACAAUACUACAAAUAAUGGUAUUUAGUUACUGUUAUUCUAUUUUGUUCUUAUGACUUAAAUUUAAAGAUGCCUUUAUUUUCUGUUUCUUUGGCCAGUUUGAUUUCCAAUUGUAUGGUUGCGUGUCAUAUAUAAUAUCUUUCAUGACCUUCUUUCCAUCAAA